rnacentral:lncRNA from 1 species
GCGGCGAGCCACAGCGUGAACAGCAAGCGCAUCUACCCGUGCAUGGUGGACCUCAGCCGCACCUGCGGCGACGUCGACUUCCUCCUCGUCAUGGGCGACGAGUCGGAGGCCACGCGGGAGCUGUGCCAGCGGGAGGGCAUCACCCAGGUGCCGCACUUCUCCUUCUACAAGGGCACCGAGAAGGUGCACGAGGAGGAGGGCAUCGGCCCCGACCAGCUCGCCGGCGACGUUCUCUACUACGGCGACAACCACGCCGGCGUCGUGCAGCUGCACAACCGGGCGGACGUGGAGGCGCUCAUGGCCGAGAACAGCGGCGAGGACGGCAAGCUGCUGGUGCUGGACGUCGGGCUCAAGCACUGCGGGCCCUGCGUCAAGGUCUACCCCACCGUCGUCAAGCUCUCCCGCUCCAUGGCCGACACCGCCGUCUUCGCGCGCAUGAACGGCGACGAGAACGACGCAUGCAUGCAGUUCCUCAAGGACAUGGAGGUCGUCGAGGUGCCCACCUUCCUCUUCAUCAGGGACAAGAAAAUCGUGGGCCGCUACGUCGGCUCCGGCAAGGGCGAGCUCAUCGGCGAGAUCCUCCGCUACCAGGGCGUCAGGGUCACAUACUAACUAAGGGAACCACCAAGCCAUCACCACUCACCAGCCGAAUUAAGUUGGAUCAUCCCUAGUUCCCUACCCUACACA